rnacentral:SRP_RNA from 1 species
CAGGGCAGGAAGGCAGCAGC